rnacentral:misc_RNA from 1 species
GGCAGACAUCCGCCUGAUGCCUGUAAUUCCCAAACCCAGAAGAACCAGCUACAAGAACCGCCCAUCUGGUACCCACUUUUUGAUCAUCAUCAUCACCACCAUCCACUUCUUCCUUCUCCGUCGGCAUUCGGAUGGUUCUCUCCCACCGGUCCCACGGCGAGGCGUUGGCGCCGCCGUAAGCAAGAAACAGAAGAAGCAACAGCAGAAGAUUGGAGGUAAAUGGGGCAGCCAUGGAGAAAGGAAGCUAAAAUUGGGUGAAACGAGAAGUGGGUGUGGAUUAAAAGACUGAAAAUGUGGGAAAUGGAA